rnacentral:rRNA from 1 species
AUAAUGGAGAGUUUGAUCCUGGCUCAGGACGAACGCUGGCGGCGUGCCUAAUACAUGCAAGUCGAGCGGAACCCUUGGAGCUUGCUCCAAGAGUUUAGCGGCGGACGGGUGAGUAACACGUGG